UAGGUAAUCUACCCCCAGGUAGAGGAUAACCUUCCGAAAGGAGGGCUAAUACUGCAUAAGACCACGACUCCGAAAGGGGAUGAGGUCAAAGCCGGCCUCUUCAUGAAAGCUGGCGCCAGGGGAUGAGCCUGCGGCCCAUCAGCUAGUUGGUAGGUAAUGGCCUACCAAGGCAAAGACGGGUAGCUGGUCUGAGAGGAUGAUCAGCCACACUGGAACUGAGACACGGUCA
rnacentral:rRNA from 1 species